rnacentral:lncRNA from 1 species
UUUCCAAAUCCGUUGGAUAGAAAGAAUCUGAUUAAAAGUGCAAGGGAACAUUACAUAACAAUAAACACGCAUAAAAUUAUUACGUGACCGAAACGAAAAUGUAUGAACUUAUCAUAAUUAUUAUGAAGGUGCCAUGGGGUGUAAAUAGUAACAGUCAGGUGGAUUUAUAUAAAAUGUCAAAAUAAUGCCCACCAAAGUCACUUGCCUUAAAUCUUACAAUAAAUAAAAAUGAAAUAGAAGAUAUAAAAGUGAAAUUUAAGGCACUACAGUAUCAAAACCGGUGGAUGCCAAUGCCAGUGCCAAUCACACUUAUUCCAAACCAUUAAUAAGGAAAGUUCAUUUUUAUUUUUAUAAGAAGCACCAGGAUACUAGUCAUGCUAAAACAUACCUGCUACCACAACAACACAGAGGGGCAACGAUUCCCAGAAUAAAUGUGUCUCAUACAUAAAUUAAAAUAACAACUAGCAGGCUAACAUUAAUUUCAAACAUAUGUUGUAACACCAUGCCAAUGCUAAGGUUCAUCAAGCAUUUAUACAAAUAACAUCAAAAUAAUUUAGACAAAUACCCCUCAAAUAAUAUGCUUAUGCCAUCACAACAAAAUCAUAUUACAGAAGGUACAAAAAGUAUAUCUUAAAAUCAACUCAUGAUUAAUACUAACUUGAAGAAAUCAUAAUAGAAAUAUCUUUAACCACAAACAACUAUCAACUUCAAAAAAUGCAAUUGGCCAAGAAUAAGAAAAAGAUGAAAACAACAAUGCUGAAACGUGAAGAAUACUUACACGGCGAAAAAAACGGUAAAGCUACGAUCUGAGUUUUGGAUCCUUAAGAACCAAACAAUGCUCUUCCACCACAAACGGUAAAGAUGUUGGUUCCCUCGCCAUCGACGCAUGGUUGGCGUUCUUCCACCACAACAUCCGGCGGUUCUUGGUUAUGUGAGAUGAAUAACCUGCAUAUAUUUCAACAACAAAUACACCACACAAAUAUUUCGAAUUCACAAUUGAUUCCCGGAGAGACCGGAGGAGCAACAAGACGGAAAAUCUCGACCGCCAAUCAUGGGAGAAAUAGCAGAGUUGGAGAGAGGGUACAUGCUGGGAUGAUUUGAAGGUGCGGAUGAACGGUGGUUGGGUUGCGAAGCGGAGUUAAUUCACUGGCAUGAGGAAAAAGUCUCGCCGGAGGUUAUCGGCAGUACGGAGAAAAGUGGUGGUGACGGUUUUGCGGCGGCGAAGGUGGUUUUGUGGAGAAGACGAUGGGGGAUGGUGGUAGGUGUGUUCCAAGAAGAUAAACAGUAAGAGAGAUUUAAUGUAUUCUUUUUCUCUUCUUUUUNAGGAGGAAGAGAUUAACCUGCAUAGAUAUUUCAACAACAAAACACCAGACAACGGCAAGAGAGUUCGUCGAUUCGACGGAUGUGAUUGACUUGAGGAGCCGGAGGAGUAACAAGACGAAAACGAUCCGCCAGAUCAUGGGAACGAGAAUAAAAGAAGUGGAGAAGAGAGGGCCGGAAUGAUUUGAGUGCCGAUUCGGACGGUGGUUGGGUGUGCGAAGGGCGGCGGAGUUAAUUCACUGGCAGAGGAAAAAGAUCUCGCUGCGAGUUUAUCGGCAGUACGGAGAAAAGUGGUGGUGACGGUUUUGCGGCGGCGAAGGUGGUUUUGUGGAGAAGACGAUGGGGGAUGGUGGUAGGUGUGUUCCAAGAAGAUAAACAGUAAGAGAGAUUUAAUGUAUUCUUUUUCUCUUCUUUUUAUUUUCUUUUUACAGAGAGAAUAUGUGUGUGGUAGUGAGGUAGCGUGAGGGAGUGAGAGAGAUGAUGGAGAGUGUUUUUCUUUUUUAACCUUUUCUCCUUUUCACAUAGAGAGAGUAAAGAGUCUGUUAGUUAAAAAGUGGGAAUGGGGUGCCCUUAAUAAUGAGUGGAAGAGAGAGUAUAUGAGUGAGAAAACGUGU